GACGAACGCUGGCGGCGUGCUUAACACAUGCAAGUCGAACGGAAAGGCCCUGCUUUCAGGGUACUCGAGUGGCGAACGGGUGAGUAACACGUGGGUGAUCUGCCCUGCACUUCGGGAUAAGCCUGGGAAACUGGGUCUAAUACCGGCUAGGAGCCAUUUUUAGUGUGAUGGUUGGAAAGUUUUUUCGGUGUAGGAUGAGCUCGCGGCCUAUCAGCUUGUUGGUGGGGUAAUGUCCUACCAAAGCGGCGACGGGUAGCCGGCCUGAGAGGGUGGACGGCCACAUUGGGACUGAGAUACGGCCCAGACUCCUACGGGAGGCAGCAGUGGGGAAUAUUGAACAAUGGGCGCAAGCCUGAUGCAGCGACGCCGCGUGGGGGAUGACGGCCUUCGGGUUGUAAACUCAUUUCGCUAGGGACGAAGCUUUUUGUGACGGUACCUAGAUAAGAAGCACCGGCUAACUACGUG
rnacentral:rRNA from 1 species